rnacentral:sRNA from 1 species
AACCAAAAACUCCUCUCUCAGUACACUUCUUUUCAUACCUCAAGAGACUAAAACUAGUUUGAGGAGAUUUAGAGGAGUGUUUGGUUCUUUGGAUAACAAUAUCCCAAACUGAAAAUGGCUAAGUCAUAUGGAGCUAUCUUCCUCUUGACCCUCAUUGUCCUCUUCAUGCUUCAAACCAUGGU